AACGAACGCUGGCGGCAGGCUUAACACAUGCAAGUCGAGCGCCCCGCAAGGGGAGCGGCAGACGGGUGAGUAACGCGUGGGAAUCUACCGUGCCCUGCGGAAUAGCUCCGGGAAACUGGAAUUAAUACCGCAUACGCCCUACGGGGGAAAGAUUUAUCGGGGUAUGAUGAGCCCGCGUUGGAUUAGCUAGGUGGUGGGGUAAAGGCCUACCAAGGCGACGAUCCAUAGCUGGUCUGAGAGGAUGAUCAGCCACACUGGGACUGAGACACGGCCCAGACUCCUACGGGAGGCAGCAGUGGGGAAUAUUGGACAAUGGGCGCAAGCCUGAUCCAGCCAUGCCGCGUGAGUGAUGAAGGCCCUAGGGUUGUAAAGCUCUUUCAACGGUGAAGAUAAUGACGGUAACCGUAGAAGAAGCCCCGGCUAACUUCGUGCCAGCCGCCGCAGUAAUAC
rnacentral:rRNA from 1 species